rnacentral:piRNA from 1 species
UAGGAUUCCUCUGAUGGUAAUGGACCUUGU